CUGUUAUGUCACCUCUCACAGAUUGCCUGCAAAACACAGGCUUGCCAAAGGCACAUGAACAUUGCAGCUGCCUGUUUUCUGAUGAGUUGUAAAGCAGUAUUAAGCAGCUUUUUUACCCCCUUCUCUUUUAUGCUAAGAAUCUAAGGUUGUGCUGCCUUGACUGUAAUCAUCCUCCCAUGACCUACACAUUUAAAUGUCUCUAGACAAGUAACCUCUUCUCUCUGAAUUUCAACUAUCUUAUCCAUUGAAUGUGGACAAUAAGAUCACACUUAGAGAAUUGUUGCAAUAACAUGCAUGAAGCACAAAUUGAUAAUUAUUCCCCAUUAUCUAUUCUUCUUUUUAAUAAUUAAGCUUCUGGGUUUCAGCUGAGCACACAGUGUCCCAGCUAAAGACUGUAUUUUCCAGCCUCCCUUGCAAUUAGCUAAGCCCCUGUGACUAAGUUCCAGCCAGUGAUCUGUAAUACGAGUGCUGUUCAAUUCCUGGGUGGUGUUCUUAAAAGGAAGUUUCUUUUUCGGUCUGUCCUCUUUCCUUGUUCACAUAGGCUGGGAAGUUUACAUGAUGUUGGUGAAAUAACUUUGCAAGCAAAUAAGGGAAUAUCAUGAAAGAUGACGGAGAAACAAGAGAGAAGGAAUCUGAGUGCCUAUAAAAUCUCAUGGAGUUGGGACCCUAAACUACCUUUUAUAGUGAAAUUUCACAUAAGAAAAAAACAGACCCUUCUAUCUUAAAGAGUCAAACGAAAAUCCUAAGUUUAUCAGUGUAUAAAGCAUGUAGUACAGAUAUUAUAGGUAGAACAUAAUACAUUAGUCUAUUAUCUCUCCCCCCUUGUUUAGAACAGUGGUUCUGAGCCUGCACAGAAGACUCUCAAACCCUGGUUCCAUGAUAUUCUUCCAAACCCAGACAUUCUUUGCAAAUAAGAGUCACACAGUAGUACAAGAAGGCACUAUUUCAACACCUUUGAUGUAGAGAUUAUUGUGUUGGGAUCUUCACAUUUGAAGGAGUUCACCACAUGGUGAGAAAGACUGAUCAGAAUCAUUACAAACCAAUGUGGAUUCCUUCAACUUUAAUUGUGGGGGUAAAAUCAGGCAGCCACUGAAGAUAAAAUACAGUCCCUGGGAGUAAUCACAAUUCACAAUGCUGUUUUCUUUUGUGAAGUGGACAUGAAAGAGUUUUUUGGUUUUUUUGUUUUGUUUUGUUUUGUUUUUUGUUUUUUUUUUUUUUGCGCAAGUGGUCAGAAGUUGUUAAAAUUGUCCCCAUUCAUGGGUACAAAUUCUGGAGAUAUAUAAUGAUAGGUGGAAAAAAGAGAAACAAAAUUGUAUAUAAUUUAUUAUUUCAAUAAAAAUACACAUCCAUAUAACUUUUAUAGAAAGAGAAGACAUAAUACUGUUAUACCCAAAUAGCAACAAUAGUUAACUCUGAGAAGUAGCAUAUUAAUUGUUACUUUAUCCUUUGUUCUUUUCUAUGACUCCUUCAAGAGAACAUAUCUCACUUUGGUCAUUAGGAAAACUUUUCUUUUCUUUUAAAUAGUUCUAAAUUUAUAUGCCUAGUCUUAUUCAAAAUGCAACUGAGAGCUACUUCCUACUGUCCCCCUAAAUCUUCAGUUAAUCUCAUAAGAUAUGAGAACCACCCUGAUUUUAACAUUAGAGAUUGAGCCAUCUGUCUGAAUUAUGAAUUCUUUCAACAUUUAACUCAUGCUUACUAUGUGUCACGGGUAUUUUGUUAGACACUGGAAAUACAAAAAUGUAUAUAUGCAGACAAUUAUAAAACAAUGUAGAAAUGGAAUAAUAAAAUUAUUCACAGGGUAUUUUUGGAGCCUCAAGAAAAAAGAGCACCUAACUGAGUCAGGCUGGAGUUCACAGAGGACUUUCUAGAAAACAUGUUAUUUGAACUGGAGGGAGAUGAAGAGGAGAUGCUCUAUUACUCCGGGUUGAGAGGAUAGUAUUUGCAAAGACUUGGAGAUAAUCAGCAUGAAAGUGUAUGCAGGGAAACUUCACCUACAUUCUGUUCAUUUGACAUUGCUAAGAUGUGAUUCCCCACUCUUCAGUACAAGCUGCCUCCUCAGAUGUCCAGUGUUGCCAUCUCAUCUCCUAAACUGAGUAUGCUGUGUCUGUGGACAGGCUUUGACUGUGGGUAUCUUGGCCAGCAUGUUACAGUUUACCUACAUUUUGCUAGGAUCAUAUAAAUUCACACUAAUUCCACUAUUUGUUUGGGUUUUGGCCCCAGAAGUAUCUGUAGUGUAUUGGAUUUGGCAAGAUUUUACUCAAGUCAACGUGAUAUUUCGUUGGGCAACUUGAUCCUCUGCCUGUUCCCUAUCACCACCGUAGGUUUUAAGAAGUAUAUAUACUGGGGGAGAGCAAUGGUUCUCGAAGCCCAGUUCCUGGGCAAGCAACGUCACAUUCUAAAACUUGUUAGAAAUGAAAAUUCUCAGGCACUCUUGAGACCUACUCAAAUAGAAACUAUGUGAGUGAGCUCAGCAACCUGUGGCUUAACAAAUACUUCAGGUGAUUCUAAAAAACACUAAAUUUUAAGAACCAUUGAUGUAGAGAAAAUGGACAGGCAAUAAUUACUAGUAUUGAGUGUUGAUCUCAUGCCACAUGUAAUUUCCUGGUGACCUUGGUUGGAUCAGGAAGAGCUGUAAGAGGAGUUUCUGUAUGCAGUAGUUGAAGGUCUUGUGGGGACAUUUUUUCUUAGAAACUUGCCAUACAAAGCAUCUGCAGAAAUAGUGAGAUUGCAUCCAACACCAUCUUGGAACUUAUUGGAAGUUCAGAAUCUCAGAUCCUACAGUCCAUUUCAGGCCUAUUGAAUCAUAAUGUUUCUGCUAACUGAUCCCCAGUUGGUUAAAUUCAAGUUUGAGAAGUGCUAUGGCUAUACUCUUAUUUCAGACCUCAAUGCUUGCUUAACUACAAUUAUUUAAACAGUACCUGCAUGAGUUUUGCCUUAUUUAUGCACCAUGGUUACUAUUAUUUACUUAAAAUUUCUAUGUGAACCCAACUCAUACCUUAAAAAAUAAAUCGUUUUUAAAUUAGACUAUACCAAUUCCAUUGAAGGAAAAGCAUCUCAAUUUGCUUCAAGUAGAGAAUAAACAUAAAAAUACAGUGAAAAGUAAGAAAUAUUACUAAAUUAUAGCUAGAUAUUGUUGACUGCCAAAGGUUGCUAUGCCUGUAUUUCCACUGUGAAAAGGGAGAGGCACAAGUAUUAAAGAAAUGUUAAAACAUCUAGCUUAGAACUCAAACUCUCUCUGAAAAAGAGGACCAAAGGAGUAUUUGAAAGGGGAUUCUCAUUGUUAUGCCAUUCAAGAUUAGGGAAAGCUCAAUUCCUGGGAAACCUAAAAUUAUCCAAUUUACUACCUAAAAAUAAAGUCCUAGACCCCUGUCAACAAUUCUGUAGGAAACAGUGUUUCAGUACAGUGCUUCUCAAACUUUAAAGUGCAUUAAAAUCCUCUAGGGAUCUUGUGAGAAUGAGGAUUUUUAUUCUAUAGGUUUGGAAUAAACUGCAGGAUUCUACAUUUUUUAACAGGCUCCAAGGUGCCAUUGUUGAGGGGACCAUACUUUGAGUAGCAAGGGUGUAGAUAUUACCACCUAAAUAUGAAGAAACCACAAAGAGUUGCACAAGAAAAGGCAUUCAAUGAGAAAAGAGAGAGGUGAUGGAUGAAUACUUCCAUAUAGGCACCUGUAUACUUCUGCUGCUGAAGGUUCAACCCCACAUCACAGGAUGCAAUUGUGCCUUCAAUACCUCAAAGGUGGCAAGUAGCAUUGGUUGGAGUUGUGAGGAAAAUGAAGAUCUCUCAGGUUUGGAUUGUUGCAUCAACAAAGAAAUUGGACUGGGCACAGUGGUUCACGCCUGUAAUGCCAGCACUUUGGGAGGCCGAGGUGGGGGGAUCACCUGAAGUCAGAAAUUUGAGACCAGCUUGGCCAACGUGGUGAAACCCCAUCUCUACUAAAAAUACAAAAAAUUAGCCGGACGUGGUGGCGCAUGCCUGUAGUCCUAGCUACUUAUUUCGGAAUCGCUUGAACCUGGGAGCUGAAGGUUGGAGUGAGCCAAGAUCAUGCCACUGAACUCCAGCCUGGGUGACAGAGUGAGACCUUGUCUCAAAAAAACAAACAAAACAAAACAAACAAACAAAAACCAGAGUAAUUAGCUGGUCCGCGUUUAUACCUAAUGGUAGCUGAUUAUAGUGACUGGAGGCCCGAAACCAUUAAACAUCCACAUGAACACACUGCAGUCUGUCUUUUCAAGGGAGGCCUAAACUGGCCUGUCAAGCAUAGCUCAGUUGGACAGUGACAAAUUUUCUCAAAAAGGGGCCCAAGCUGUUCAAAACGGCAUUGGGUUCUAAGAAUAGUUCUAACACAGCAGCUCUGACAUUCUUUAACCCCAUUGUUCCCCCUAAAAGGGAUUCUACUUUUGGAUGACCCAUGCCUCUCAAUUUGGUCUUAUCUAACCUCUGAAUUUUAGUCUAGCUUAGUGCAGAUUGAUUGCACAGCCCUGUGCAGCAUUCACCCAGAGCACAUUUAUUAAGUUCUUACCAUAUGCAUCAAAAAAGUUGGAAGUGGAGGCAACAAAGCUCAGAUGAAAAGCUCUGUUCUUCACACUGAUGGAAAAUAGCAAUCCCAUCCCCUAAGUCUACACAGCCUGCAGCAGCCAAGAAAACCUAGAUCUGGCACACUUUACCAAAAAGAGAAAGCAAAACCAAUUCAGGACUCCAAAUCCAUGAGUCAUGAUGUUUGGCCACUAAUAGGAGCCUAAUUAGCCUGAUGAUUUUCCUCUUCAUGCCCUAGAGUCAUGGCCUUGGGCAUAAUCAUCACAGACACCAGUCCCCUAAAUUCAAAAUUCGUUUGUCAGCUCUCAGCCUGUGUCCAAUGAUGCAAAAAAAAAAAAUCGAUUUUGAUCUCUUCAGGCAAUCUGCCAGUCAGCUUAAUGUAAAAUAAUCAGCCAAAGUGAUGUUUAACUGAAUUGACUAGGUAUUUGGUAACUUUCUUUUUCUUCUUUGAAUUGACAGGUCAAAUCAGUCAGAAGAAAUUAUCAGCCUCAGGCAGACAAAGUCAAAAUUGUUGUCUCCUCUGCACUUUUUCCAAAUCACCCACCACAAAGUCCAGGUGCCUUUUAUUGUAUUGCUAAAAUAAGAUGCAAGAGAGGCAGAGAUAAAUCGGUUUACUUAGCAAAUAAUUAAAAAGAGUUUACUGUGUACCAGGCACUUUCCUAAGCACUUCACAAACAUUGACUAGUUUAAUUCUCUUAAGAAACAUAAAACACAUUAUUAACCCCAUUUUGCAGAUAACGAAACAAAUUCACAUAGAGAUCAAGUGACUGGAUGAAAAGCAGCCAGCCAGUGGGUGCUGGAUCCAGAUAUCACUCAAAACUACCCAUGAUCUUAACCAGUAUUCCUAUACUCCACUGCCUCGAACCCACGGUAGUCAGAGAUCACACUCCUAGGCCUGCCAAUGCUAGCCAGCUGAAGGUCACAGAGCUCAGUAGUGACCAAGACAGUAAGACAAUCUUGCCAAAGAUCCUUGGUGGGAUCAGAGUUGUCCUCUUCAAAGACUGACAAGGUCAUUAUUUAGGGAAUGGACGUAA
rnacentral:lncRNA from 10 species